GAUGAACGCUAGCGGCAGGCCUAACACAUGCAAGUCGAGGGGUAACUAGAGUGAUAGCAAUAUUACUUUGGCUAGACCGGCGCACGGGUGCGUAACACGUAUGCAACCUACCUUAUACUGGGGAAUAACUUCGAGAAAUCGGCGCUAAUACCCCAUAACAUUGCGAAGAGGCAUCUCUUUGCAAUUAAAGCUACGGCGGUAUAAGAUGGACAUGCGUCCAAUUAGCUAGUUGGUGAGGUAACGGCUAGCCAAGCCUACGAUUGGUAGAGGUUCUGUUAGGAGGAUACCCCAAAAUGGGAAUUGGGAACGGACCAGACUGCAACGGGAGGCAGCAGUGAGGAAUAGUGGGCAAUGGAGGAAAGGCUGACGCAGCCAUGCCGCGUGCAGGAUGACGGCCCGAUGGGUUGUAAACUGCUUUUGUACGGGAAUACACCCUUCUACGUGUAGGAGGCUGAAGGUACCGUAAGAAUAAGCACCGGCUAACUCCGUGCCAGCCGCCGCAGUAAAAC
rnacentral:rRNA from 1 species